ensembl:lncRNA
CAUAGCUUUAAUGAGUGUAAGGUGCGCCGUUAAUCAGCGCACUGGGUUCACUCCAUAUGAGCUGCUGACAGGAAGACAAUUUCCAGGCCCUGCAGCAGGUGUAAGAGAAUUAAGAGAGGAAGUAAAAGUGUCUGAACAUGUGAAACAGUUUAAAGCACUAAAAGCUCUUGUCUCUAGUUUCACUACGCAGGUGGGAGAUCCAACAGGAAAGGAGGUGACCACGCCAGAGGCGAAGUGGGUGUGGCUGAAGGUGUAUAAGCGAAAGUGGGACGAGCCCAGGUGGACAGGACCUUUCGAGGUGACCACUCGAACCUCUCACGCGGUCCAGCUGAGGGGCAAAGGCGACACCUGGUACCACUGGAGCCAGUGUGCAGCGGCGGAGGAGCCUAGGCGAUCGGAGAGGCUCUUGGCGAAAAAGGGGGACACGGCUGUGACCCCAAAAAAACACAGAUCUUAGUAUAGAAGGGCCAGAAUAAUACCCUGAUCUGUGUAACGACCAAAGGGUAGUCUACCCCGGAGGUUGAAGAAAGAAGUCGAGAAUCACCCAACUGGAAGACACUGGUAGCUGCAGCAAUAAAAAUAAAGGUUAAAAGCUCCUUAGACAGAGGUUCUAGUCUAAGUACAUUUGAAAGGUAUAAGGGGGCAUUAGAAUGGGGGAGGAAAAGUCUAGUGAAAAAAUGAAGCUUCUGGAGAAUUGGAAAUUGAUGGGAGUGUUAGCUAUGAUCACUAUUGGUGUGCUAACUACUGUUUUUCUGUUGUGUGAGUUGCCCAGUUACAGAACUCAUCCACCUCCUCUUCCUCUCGCGGACCCUGAGGCGACCACCUCUGAGCGUGAUGUAGGUGAGAAACCAGAUCCUUGUUUAGAGUAUUAUGGAGGCAUAGAGGUGGAUUACGUUAGAGGAUCCACCACAGCCUUCACUUUUGAUCUGUGUUCCGUGAUAGACUGUGGAAAGGAUCAGACCAGUUGGCGCGGGUACGAGGUAUGGACAUGUCAUGACAUAAGAUUCACAAAUGCUUGUCUUGUAGGUAAACCCACCGCCACGGGGUACACCCCGUGUGAGGAGUGGGACAUGGUGACCGGUUACACUCCACCA